ensembl:lncRNA
UGGAUCUUCUCUAACUGCUACUCUUACAUAGCUUUCCAGUCAAGGAUGACUGACAUGUUUCAAAGCCAGGCAUCAGCUGUGUUCAGCUCUGGCUUGAAAAAAAAUAUGCAGACAACAGCACAGACCUCCUGCUACUAACAAGUAAAUAGAUAAAUAAUGUGAUCACAGUGCAGCCCCAAAGCCUGGGAUUCUUUUCCAUGCCCACAGUGCUGCAGUUUGGUGCACCAGCGAAUGACACUGUAAAGCUCCUGGGUCUAAGCACUCUCCUUUGCGUGUUUACCUUCAUCCUCUGCAGGAGAUUAAUGUGGUUUGUCAGUCUGAAAAACAUGUUUAUAACACCAGAAACCACUAUAACCUUGGCAGUCUGCACUGGAAUUAAACGUCAUAAAAUUCAGACAUCCAAAUUUGUCUGCUUUGGUUUUACAUGACAAGUUCUUUCACAGUAGUUCUCCUGUGCCUCCGGUGCCAUUGGCACAGUGCAGCAGUCAAGAGGUGAUACCUGAAGUACUGUUAUUAUUUAUGUCACAGGUCUUCCUAAAACAGAAUAAAAUACUACUCUGAGUGGCUGAAAUGAACAUAAUAUGUAAUCGCAGCAAGCUUUUUUCCUACUGUCAGAUGCAAGGCUGCUGAUCCUGAUUUCACCAAGAUUUGUACUUCCUGCUUCACAUUCUAUACAUUCAUUCACUGAGGUCCCUUCCAGAGCUGUUGGGUGCUCGAGCACCAUUAAUGUUUUCAGAAUUUUCUGUUCCUAGUUGAAGGGAGAAGGUGCCUGACAUUCUCAUGACAGAGUUCAAAGCAGAAUCCAAGAAUGGAUGAGGUUGGCAGGGACCUCUGGGUCCAUCUGCUCCAACCCCUAUUCCAGCAGAGACAUCCACAGAUGGGUGCCCAGGCCCACGUCCAGGCAGGUUUUGAAGAUUUCCAAGGAGGAGACUCUACGAUGUGUGCCAGAGCUCGUCACCCACACUGCACAGAAGUGCUGCCUAGCAUUCAGAGGAAACCUCCUGUGUUCUGGUUUGUGACCACCAACUCUUGUCUUGGCACUAGGCACCACUGAAAACAGCCUGGAUCCAUCUUUUUCACACCCUCCCUUCAGGUAUUUAUAUUGAUUGAUAGGUUGCCCAGAGAGGUUGUUAUUCCCCCUCCCAGGAAGCAUGUAAGGCCGGGCUGGAUGGGGCUUUGAGCAACCUGGUCUAGAGGGAGGUGACCCUGCCUAUAGCAAGAGAGUUGGACCCAGAUGAUCUUAAAAGUCCCUUCCAACUCAAACCAUUCUAGGAUUCUAUGUUUCCUCCUGAGCCUUCUUUCCUCCAGGCUGAACAGUCCCAUAAAGUAGAAUGCUAAAACAAAGGAUGAAUUUUGUAGCUAUUGUUCAGUUGACUUACUUCUGUAGAGUGACUCAAAAUCAAAUGGAUGUUUCUUUCCCUGCUGCUUUUCCUCCCUUCCCCACACACGUCCUAAAAUGUCAUUCUGUCACCUUUCCCUGUUGAACACCACAUACCUGGAAUCUUUCCAUAUCAUAAGAAACGCUUUAAUCUGGAGAGUAAUGCAAAUAGUGCUCACUUAUAAAAUGCUUUGGUAUGCUUAGUUUUAUUCCUUGGACUUAUUUGUGAGUGUUUUAUGAUUACAUCCAAAUAAAACACAAUCAGAAACUGUAGAGUGAUAGUGAUGCAUGUACAAAGAAGAAU